UACAGAGGGUGCAAGCGUUGUUCGGAAUUACUGGGCGUAAAGCGCGUGUAGGCUGCAAUGUAAGUCGGAUGUGAAAGCCCUUGGCUCAACCAAGGAAGUGCAUCCGAUACUGCGUCGCUUGAGUGUCGGAGGGGUCGGCGGAAUUCCUGGUGUAGCGGUGAAAUGCGUAGAUAUCAGGAGGAAUACCGGUGGUGUAGACGGCUCUCUGGACCGCGACUGACGCUGAGACACGAAAGCGUGGGUAGCAAACAGG
rnacentral:rRNA from 1 species